rnacentral:pre_miRNA from 1 species
UUUGACUCUUCAUCUUAUUUGAAUUUUUUUUUGCGAUUAAUAUUUUUAUUGUUACUAGGUGAUAAAACAAUAAUAAUAAUUUAUGCAUGAGUAAUUUUGUUAAGUUUUUGUACAAUUUUUUAAAUAAGACGAAUGGUCAAA